GCGGCCCAACAGACGUACCAGGUAGGCUCACGACCACAGUCGGCCCAGCUAAAGGCCGAUGCCCAGUACCCCUUGGAGAGGUCACUCUCUCCUUCUCGGGGAUGACAAGUGGCAAUCUGAAAGUUUGCCCUUUUUCCAUAGUUAGAUUAGAUUCCUCUCAAUCUAAAACUAGACUCAAUGCUAAUAAAUUAAAUGUACUUUUCUUUCAAUAAAAACUUCAAAAAAUGGAAGGAAAAAACCAGAAACAUUUUUUCCACUUUGCUUCUCGCGAAAGAAAAUAUGUACCUUCACGAAAUGCAAAUUCGUGUCUCUCAUAGAAAAACAUUUUUCUCUGUGCCUCUCGUAAACGAAAAAAACAUGUUUUCCUUUUUUUUAAGAGGCGCAUCUCCCGAAACAAUAUGUAUCUCUACAAAAGCAAGUUUAUGCCUCCUGUGGAAGCAAAAGAAAAACACAUGUUUUUUUCUUUUGGAGAGGCACAAUUGUGUCGAUCACAAAAAGCAAAUUUAUGUCUCUCAUGGAGGCAAAAAACAAUUAUCUUUGUUUUUCAUGAAAUCAAAUAUGUGCCUUCACGAGAAACAAAUUUAUGUCUCUCAUGGAAGAAGAAAAGUUUUUCUUCUUUGACUCUUCCGUAAGAAACUCUUUUGCCUUUUGUAAAAGGAAAAAAAUACAUGUUUUCCCUAUUUCGUGUCGCGCUAUAUGAGUGUUCCCUUCGUAUUUUAUUUUUUAUUUUUUUUUGCAUGCGUUUUCGCCUUUUUUGAGUGGUUUUUUCCGGGUUUUUUAUGUUACGAUUUUUCAACGGCCUUUCGUAACUUUUGAACGGGAAAAAAUUUCGCGAAAAAACGUGUUUUCGUUUUUUUACGUGAAAAAACUCGUUUUUUUUUUUUCGAGAGGCACGGUUUUGCUUCAAGAAGAGGCACGGGUUUGCCUUCAUGAGAGGCACGGCCGUGCCUCUCGGAAAGGAAAAACAUAGACGCAUUUUUUUUGUGAGAGACACGGUUUUGCCUUCGCGAGAGGCACGCCCGUGCCUUUCGGAAAGGAAAAAAACAUGUUUUCUGUUUUUCUACGAGAGGUAUGGUUUUGCUUCCGCGAAAGGCACGGUUUUGCCUUUGCGAGAGGCACCUCUUCCAAAAGGAAGAAAAUGCAUUUUUUGCUUUUUGUUUUUUGCGUGAGGCACGGUUUUGCUUCCGCGAAAGGCACGAUUUUGCCUUUGCGAGAGGCACGCCCGUGCCUCUUUCGAAAAGGGAAAAACGCGUUUUUUGCUCUCUCUUUUUUCGCGAGAGUCGCGGUUUUGCUUCGGCGAGAGACACGGUUUUGCCCUCGCGACAGGCAUGACCCGUGCCUCUCAGAAAGGGAAAAAACGUGUUUUCUGUUUUUUUCCUAUCGCGUGAGGCACGUUUUUUUCGUCCGGUUUUUUCUUCUGGUUUUUUCAUGAAAAAAAGUUCAUCAAAACCUAUCAACAUGGAUCUAGUUUUGAAGAUGUCGACACGAGAAAGCCAACGGUGAAAACGGUUCGAGAUUUGAACGCACGGUUUAUGAGAUAAAACAUUUUUAAAAACGGAUCUACGAAAAAAGAGAAAACUUCCAGGUUGCGACAAGUGACACGCAUGCAGUGCGUCAUUUGUUGCAACCCGUUGAGGUGGGAGUAAUCGUUGGAAUGUGUACUCGUUAAUGAUUUUGCUAUAUUACUGCUGCGUCAGGCCCAACUCUGGCAAGCCCAUGCAAAUGGAUGGAGGCCUAGAACCGUUGAAAACCCAGCUCUGCGGCGGCCCAUCCACUCGCCGCAGAGAACAACACAAACCCCUCUCUCCCUGGUCGCCGUCGUCUCGCAUCUCCGCACGCACCGCCGUCGCCGCCCGUGCUCCCUUCUCCCCCCUCCCCCCUCCCCCCGUCGACGGCCAUCUAUUACUCCGGGCUCGGAUCGGCUAUCUCGCCCCGCCAAGGAAGGAAGGGCAUGGCUCUGCGAGCANN
rnacentral:lncRNA from 1 species